CAGGUCACUCCUACGGGAGGCAGCAGUGGGGAAUAUUGGACAAUGGGCGCAAGCCUGAUCCAGCAAUGCCGCGUGUGUGAAGAAGGCCUUCGGGUUGUAAAGCACUUUUAUCAGGAGCGAAAUACUACUGGCUAAUAACCGGUGGGGCUGACGGUACCUGAGGAAUAAGCACCGGCUAACUUCGUGCCAGCAGCCGCGGUAAUACGAAGGGUGCAAGCGUUAAUCGGAAUUACUGGGCGUAAAGCGUGCGUAGGCGGUGAGUUAAGUCUGUUGUGAAAUCCCCGGGCUCAACCUGGGAAUGGCAAUGGAUACUGGCUCGCUAGAGUGUGAUAGAGGAUGGUGGAAUUCCCGGUGUAGCGGUGAAAUGCGUAGAGAUCGGGAGGAACAUCAGUGGCGAAGGCGGCCAUCUGGAUCAACACUGACGCUGAGGCACGAAAGCGUGGGGAGCAAACAGGAUUAGAUACCCUGGUAGUCCACGCCCUAAACGAUGCGAACUGGAUGUUGGUCUCAACUCGGAGAUCAGUGUCGAAGCUAACGCGUUAAGUUCGCCGCCUGGGGAGUACGGUCGCAAGACUGAAACUCAAAGGAUUGACG
rnacentral:rRNA from 1 species